AACGAACGCUGGCGGCAGGCCUAACACAUGCAAGUCGAACGCCGUAGCAAUACGGAGUGGCAGACGGGUGAGUAACACGUGGGAACGUACCCUUCGGUUCGGAAUAACUCAGGGAAACUUGAGCUAAAACCGGAUACGUCCGAGAGGAGAAAGAUUUAUCGCCGAGGGAUCGGCCCGCGUCUGAUUAGCUUGUUGGUGAGGUAACGGCUCACCAAGGCGACGAUCAGUAGCUGGUCUGAGAGGAUGAUCAGCCACAUUGGGACUGAGACACGGCCCAAACUCCUACGGGAGGCAGCAGUGGGGAAUAUUGGACAAUGGGCGCAAGCCUGAUCCAGCCAUGCCGCGUGAGUGAUGAAGGCCCUAGGGUUGUAAAGCUCUUUUUACCCGGGAAGAUAAUGACUGUACCGGGAGAAUAAGCCCCGGCUAACUCCGUGCCAGCAGCCGCCGU
rnacentral:rRNA from 1 species